rnacentral:rRNA from 1 species
GACGAACGCUGGCGGCGUGCUUAACACAUGCAAGUCGAACGGAAAGGCCCUGCUUUUGUGGGGUGCUCGAGUGGCGAAAGGGUGAGUAACACGUGAGUAACCUGCCCUUUACUUUGGGAUAACUUCAGGAAACUGGGGCUAAUACCGGAUAUGAGCUCCUGCUGCAUGGUGGGGGUUGGAAAGUUUCGGCGGUUGGGGAUGGACUCGCGGCUUAUCAGCUUGUUGGUGGGGUAGUGGCUUACCAAGGCUUUGACGGGUAGCCGGCCUGAGAGGGUGACCGGCCACACUGGGACUGAGAUACGGCCCAGACUACUACGGGAGGCAGCAGUGGGGAAUAGUGCACAAUGGGCGGAAGCCUGAUGCAGCAACGCCGCGUGCGGGAUGACGACCUUCGGGUUGUAAACCGCUUUCGCCUGUGACGAAGCGUGAGUGACGGUAAUUGGUAAAGAAGCACCGGCUAACUACGUG